UGGUGGAGUGAUUUGUCUGGUUAAUUCCGUUAACGAACGAGACCUCAGCCUGCUAAUUAGUAAGUCUCAUCAUUUUGAUGGGUACGAGCUUCUUAGAGGGACUAUCGGUUUCCAACCGAUGGAAGUAUGAGGCAAUAACA
rnacentral:rRNA from 1 species